GCCCUGGCAACCGGAGGCAGUGAAACAGAAUCUGUCAGAUGGAAAAUGUCAGUUACAGCGAGUGAGGAGAGGGGAGGCUGUGGGCUCAGCCUCCUGCCCACCCUGCCCUUGCCCUUGCCCCAGGGGAGGCUGCUCCUUGAAGGAGAAAGACCUGGCCCUAGGGUGGGAGAGGCGAGGACCAGGAAGAGGAAACAAAGGAGGGUCAAACACUUGCCUGCUGCGAUGCCGUGCAGAGAAGCCUUCAGCAAAGGAGCUGGGACAACCUCAAAAAUAAGUGAUCACUGGGCUGGAGAGAUGGCUUAGUGGUUAAGCGCUUGCCUGUGAAGCCUAAGGACUCCGGUUCCAGGCUUGAUUCCCCAGGACCCACGUUAGCCAGAUGCACAAGGGGGC